rnacentral:rRNA from 1 species
AUUGAACGCUGGCGGAAUGCUUUACACAUGCAAGUCGAACGGUAGAGGGGGCAACCCCUCGAGAGUGGCGAACGGGUGAGUAAUAUAUCGGAACGUGCCCAGUCGUGGGGGAUAACGUAGCGAAAGUGACGCUAAUACCGCAUACGAUCUAAGGAUGAAAGCGGGGGAUCGCAAGACCUCGCGCGAUUGGAGCGGCCGAUAUCAGAUUAGGUAGUUGGGGGGGGAAAGGCUCACCAAGCCAACGAUCUGUAGCUGGUCUGAGAGGACGACCAGCCACAAUGGAACUGAGACACGGUCCAGACUCCUACGGGAGGCAGCAGUGGGGAAUUUUGGACAAUGGACGCAAGUCUGAUCCAGCCAUUCCGCGUGCAGGAUGAAGGCCCUCGGGUUGUAAACUGCUUUUGUACGGAACGAAAAGGUCUCACUUAAUACGGGGGGCUCAUGACGGUACCGUAAGAAUAAGCACCGGCUAACUACGUGCCAGCAGCCGCCGUAA